UACGGGGGGGGGCAAGCGUUGUUCGGAAUUACUGGGCGUAAAGGGCUCGUAGGUGGCCAACUAAGUCAGACGUGAAAUCCCUCGGCUUAACCGGGGAACUGCGUGUGAUACUGGAUGGCUUGGAUUUGGGAGAGGGAUGCGGAAUUCCAGGUGUAGCGGUGAAAUGCGUAGAUAUACGGAGGAACACCAGCGGCGAAGGCGGGUAGCUGGGCCAACACUGACGCUGAUGCGCGAAAGCUAGGGGAGCAAACGGG
rnacentral:rRNA from 1 species